GGCUUAGGGUAGAAAACCUUCUGUGUUUUAAACCCAUCUAUGGGAGAAACCUUCAGAUGCUGUAUUUAUUUCAAGUCUCUCUUAGAUGAGUUUAGAAACGUCCGGUGCAGGUGACAAUGGAAAUCAUUUCAUUUGUAAUUAAAGUAUGACACUAAUCUUAAGCCACCCAAAGAAUACUAAAGUACUGGAAUCCUGUAUCCACCCAUGGGAACAAGUUUUUAAUUCAAAAAUGUCUUUAAAAACUGAGCAGCUGGUAAUAUCUCUAGGCAGCAGAAAAGCAAGAGCAGCUGUUCUUAUACCCAAGAGCAUAUGUGCUGGGCCUUGUUGGACAUGUCAGAUCAAAAUCACCCUUCUCAAAUUUCCUAAUUUUUGUGGUAUUUAAUAUAGAAAUUAUUAUGACAUAUCAGUAGUUAAAAUUUGCUGCUGACAUUGUAAUUACGGUAUUUUCAACAGCAGUUACUAAAGGAUGACGCCUUCUAUAUGUGCUUGUGGGAGGGGGACGAGACAAAGCAGUAGCUGUUGUCCAGGAAUUCAAAGGACAUCCCACACCUUCAGACUAAUUUCCAUUCGUAUGCUUAUCACUAACAUCAACAAAGACAUUUUAGAGACUAUUACACAACUUUAUCUUAAUGCUAAUUGGCAAGUUUUAAGACAGUAUUUUAAAACCUUGAAAGUCUAACUUUAGUGCUAUGUUUAAAUUUCACACGAACACUUUACCAAAGAACACACUGCAUGUAAAGACUUACAAUCUCAGUACCAGCAAGUAAAGCCUUGCUUCUCUACUCACCGGAGUUGGGUGCUGGUGUGAACAACUGACCUCCUGGUGUCUAUUGUACUCUGUAUAAGAGCCAUAUGUAAUGUACUGUAACAAAGGAGCUUAUUACCACUGCGUCUUUUAAUUAAAUGCUUUCAACCUUUGUCCCUGUCCACAGUUGUCUAAAGUAUCUCCCCCAAUCCAACUACCUAGAAAAUUCAAUUUGAGCCCAUCUGUCCUUGACACCUAAACAACCCUUUUCUCAGUCACUAAUUCACUGAACUAUCGUCCUGUUGUUGAUUCUAGAACACACACACACGCACACAGGUCUCCCCAUCCCUUUUAUUUUUGCUUGUCUGGACAGUGAACCCAGAAUCUCAUACUUGCUAGGCAAGUGCUAUACUACUGAGCUAUAUCCCCAGCAUAUCCAGUAUUAACAAAAUUGAUACUAAAUGAUUUGGUCUGAUAUGGAAAUUUUUAGGGAUUAUUUAUGUUACUAACCAGUAUUCAGGUAAGGUUUCUAUCGUAGUUCACACUUUCCUCUCCAGACUGUUUCCCUCAUGGAAACUUUCAUCAUCUUGGUAUGGCACAAAGGGUUGCUGCUGAGAUGCAGACAUUAAAGACGGUCAUACAAUCAAUCACUCAAAAGCCAGAGGAAUAUAAGUGAAACUCUGUUGUGUUUCCCUUCAAAACCUUCUGAUGUCUUCUACGAUCUCCAAGAAAUCUUCAUUGUGGAGUCUGCACGCUAAAAGCACUUUAUGUGGAAUCCAGCUGCAUUCCUGGCACUCCUUUGUUGGCAUCUUGUACAGAGUACAAAGGAGCUCUGCUGUGAGUGAGCACGCAAGAAACUGAAGCAGGCUCAAGCCCAAAGCCCAGUUUGAAUCCAGCUGGUCUGUGUUUGGCAAAAUCCUUCUUACUUGCGGUCCUUGUGCCUCCAGAUGAGCGACUGCUGCUGUUUCCUUCUUCCUCGACAGUCUUUUUGUUAGCUUUUAAUUCCUUCUUCUGCUUAUCUAUGUUUUGUUUCUCCAGCUAUCCAAAUAAUCAAGGCAGGGAAAAAAAUCGAAUUCAAUAAAAACAUUUUCUUUUA